rnacentral:lncRNA from 1 species
CUGAUCCAGUGUUGUCUUCUUUCCUCCUUGACUCCACCUCAGAUCUGCUAAAUGAGCUUCUUCAAGGGUAGACGCUUGGCCCCUGUCUGGUUAACAAGCGCCCCAGAUCAGAAUCUAAAGCUGGAGAGAGAAAGUGACUUGCUCCAGACCGAGAAUGAGUUUACGGCAAAGUAAGGACCAGGACUUUGGUCUCUCGACUCUUUAUGGGAACUUCUCCUGCCCUUCCAGGCCUUCUGUGCAGCAGACUGACGCACUUGGUCAGCACACCUGAGAAAUGAGUGCGGAGUCUAAAGCCACCUUGAUGAAGACAAUGGAGGAAGGUGGAGAUGUGGAUGACAGAGAUUGGAGGGAGGAGUGCCAUCGGGGCUGCCCUCACUCCAGCCCUUGCUUCGCUCCAGAAGACGAAAUUCAGAGAGCCAGCGGCAAGCGAGGCAGGAAGGCCAGCGGGCGGUGAGGGCAGACUUGCUCUAGCCUGCCUGCGGUAGGAUCCAGGCCGGCAGCGCUGCACAGUGGCUAGGAGCCCGCUCUGGAGUCCCAGCUCUUCCAUCCGCAAGCUGUGUGCCGGGGGCUGAGUUACUUUGCCUCUCUCUGCCUGUUUCUUCACCCACUUCACAAAGGGUUUUGUACGAAGUAAGUGGGGUACCGAGCAUAAAGCACUUAGCAUAGUGCCUAGCACUUGGUAACACUCAGUAAAUGUAGUCGGUUUUGUUAUUCUAACACUAGGCUGUAAACUCUGUGAGAGCAGAAAUCCUUUCUCUUAUCCUCAUUGUUCAUUAGCAACAUGGAGGUGCUCAGGAAAAAAGUUUCAUGACACCUUUCUCUCCACGACCCCACCUCCUGCUCCUCACUCUGGCCACCCCCGCCCCUCCCCGCAGUGAGUCCUGGGUAGUGGGUGCCGGGCGCCUGGUUCCGCCCGGAGGCCACGCCCCUCAGAGGGUGAGCGGGAGCCAGGCUAUUGUUGCGGCUGAGACUCUUUCCGAAAUGGGAAGCCCUGAAUUAGAGGACGGCUGCUCUAAUCUCUGUGGGGGCUCACAGGCCUCGGAGCGGGCCCUCCCCCUGACGCCAGCGCUGAGCUCCCUCCCUCUCUCCUCCUCUCCUCCUCUAGCUGAACCCCAGACCCCUCACUGAGCCCCUGUCUCUUCUCUGAGCCUCCUUGAGCCCCAUUCUCUCAUCUGAGCCUGCCUUUUCUCAGGGUCCCCAUCACCUCACUGAACUCGUCUCCUCACAGCACCCCUCCCUUCUCUGCACCCCAUCUUCUCUCUCAUGGCUCCCGAGCCUCUCUCUCCCUCUCUCUCUCCCUCUCCUUCUUUCCCUCUCCCUCUCUCUCCCUCUCUCUCCCUCUUCUCUCCCUCUCCCUCUCUCUCCCUCUCUCUCCCUCUCUCUCCCUCUCUCUCUCUCUCUCUCUUGCCCACUCCCCCUCCACUCAGCAGCCCUUGCCCUAGCCUCUUGCCCUCACUGAGACCCUGGCUCCUGCUGUCCUCUUGGCCUAUUGCGCUCACCAUCCCUCCCCCAACACCCCCACCUUAUCCCCUCC